UGAUACCAGGGUCAAAAGGUCAUGCGUUUCAUGCUUGCAUGAAAAAGCAUGACCUUUUGACCCCAACAUCAUUAUAAUGUGUCUGUAAACAUAUAGGAACCGUUAUAAAAAUUUAGUAGGUGUAUACGGAGGUUAUA
rnacentral:sRNA from 1 species